rnacentral:rRNA from 1 species
CAGUCGCCGCGGUAACACGUAGGUCCCGAGCGUUGUCCGGAAUUAUUGGGCGUAAAGCGCGCGCAGGCGGAUAGGUCAGUCUGUCUUAAAAGUUCGGGGCUUAACCCCGUGAUGGGAUGGAAACUGCCAAUCUAGAGUAUCGGAGAGGAAAGUGGAAUUCCUAGUGUAGCGGUGAAAUGCGUAGAUAUUAGGAAGAACACCAGUGGCGAAGGCGACUUUCUGGACGAAAACUGUCGCUGUGGCGCGAAAGCCAGGGGAGCGAACGGGAUUAGAUACCCGAGUAGUCCCUGUCUCUUAUACA